rnacentral:lncRNA from 1 species
UCAGAAAUUGCCACAGCCACUCCAACCUUUAGCAACCACCACCCUGGUCAGUGAGCAGCCAACCAUUGAAGAUGAGUAAACAGAGGCUGGAAGUGGCGAUCUGACUCACCCAAAUUGACAGUUAUUAAUAAAUAUAUUAAGGAGAAGAAAAUAAAGAUAAUAAAAGAGGUAUGAACGGGAUGCUGUGUGACUAUCAAAAGGUGAAGAUGGAGACAUUGGAGAAGCCUUCAUGGAAGAGACACAUGUGACAUUUGGUGCCAAAGACCCGGGACAGGAGGACUCCUUCAGGAGACUGGCCCCCUGUCCUUGCCCUCAUUCUGUGAGGAGAUCCACCUACAACAUCAGGUCCUCAGACCAAGCAGCCCAAGGAAU